CUGAAGGACCAUGCAGAGCACCAGGCCAGGAAGCAGCGAGCUGGAGUUCAUCACAUUCUCCCCCCUCGCUCACUUUAGUAACCUUGAUUUGGGCACAGUUAGCAAGCCAACCAGAGACUUGCAUCAUCUGACAGGGGGAUCUAUGCCAAAUACGUAAGUAUUACGUGUCUUGUACUAUUAUACAUUCUUCAUUUAUGCAAUUAAAUGAAGACUUCACAUUUUAUUUGUCUGUGCGUUUAAACUUAAAAGCUGGGAUAGAAGAUGCAUGAGGAAGCAGAGGAGAAGGACAGAUGAUGAGUAAGUAAAUUGGUUUCACUCAUGAGAGUUGCUAUGUGCUGCAGUGGGUUUUUCAUGACCUUUUGCUUCUACAGAAGCUGCGGUCCUAAACGGCGAAAGCUGAUGGGAGAAGAAGGAGCAGAUGAGUAUCCAAGUCCUAAAGUGAGCCAAAGAUGGUCUGUGGACUCUACCACCACUUCCCCUCCUGAGACCAACCCGGUUCAGCUUCAGACUGAACCCAGAACAGAGGAGAUGGGUCUGCCCUUCACAUCCACUCCCUCUCCACUACCCAGAGUUCCCACAGAAGGCUCAGGCAUGGAGGUAGAGGCCACUCAGAGGAGACUGCAAGAGAUAGAAGACAGGAUAACUUUGAAGGAUGAUAGCGAUGAAGAAGAGCUUGAUGUGGAACCGGCUCAGCGCAGACCAGUGCUGGUGAUGUCCGACAGCUUAAGGGAGGGGCUACAACGUGGGAUUGGUGACAUUCUACCCCAUACGGUAGCACAGUCAGUGAGCUGCUCUUGUAUGGAAUUGGUGUUGUGGCGCCCCCCUGAGGACCCUCUCACCCAGAGGCUGAAGGACUCUUUACAGAGACAGCAGCGCAAGCAGUUGGCAGUGAGCAGACAGACUCCCACCCCUGUACCGCCUAUCAGCAGCCCCCCACCCCAGCCCCAGUUCACAGCACCCAAUGAGCAGACUUUUAGCCCCCUGUUCAGUAGCCCAGCACUCCUCAACUCUGGAGAGGAAGACAUGGAGCUAUAG
rnacentral:lncRNA from 12 species